CUUGCACUGCAUGUGCUAUCAAAAUCAUUGCAGACUUUUCUUGGUCUAACUCUAUUCAACUUUUGAAAUUAAUCGAAGCUAAACUUUUGUGCUGAAUAUUGUCAUAGGCCAACUGUAAGUAUAAAAUUGAAGAUAAGCGCCUCCUAAUCCGUAACUGUAAAAAUGUUUAUUGAUUCCGUCAGUGUAUGUUAGGCGCAACGAAAGGCCAGUACACACAGUCUUAUGAUAAAGUAUCUGUUUGGUGUACAUUUGUUCUGUACAAAUAGUUGUGUAAUUUACGUGGCAUGUUUACUUGUAUACUAAGCUUUAUAAUGCACAAUUUUCGAAGCUGUAUCUUUUGGAUUCUAUGGAUUGACAAGUUAAAAUAUUCUUUGACGGUUUGUACAUACUAGAUGUGGUUGAAAUUGAGAAAGAUACAGCGAUGGUAUGGCGUAAUGCCAAACCACGCACAACGGAGCUUGAUACUUGCACUAAAGUUUUAUAAGUAAUAUGAUAUAAUUUUAUAACGGGUUACUAAAACAUUGUCUCCGUGGUUAUAGAGUUAGACCAAAAAAAGUCUGAAAGUGUUAUUAACUUAAACUUCUAUGAAAUUAUGACGUUUAAAAUGACACUUGCACCAGUGGGGAGACACUCCUGACUUCGGUCGAACUCGGCUCCGUUUGGCUAGGCAUUGCUCCGAGCAAUUAUUAGGGUUGGCACCACUUGACUUCCUUGUGCGUGCACGACCACAGAUAAGAUAAUCACUUGAAUUUUGACAACCCUAAAUAGCCGAAAGGGAUAGUGCUAUAUAUUAGAAAGGGAUAGCACGAUUCGACCCUGAAUCGCUGUCAAACUCGGGUUUGUAGGAAGUGUCCUUUCUGUACGGUAGUACUAUUAUUUCUUCUGUGCUUGCACUGCGUGGGCUAUCAAAAUCGCUGCAGACUUUUCUUGGUCUAACUCUUAAAAGGUUCAGUAGCAAUAUUUGCGUAUAGAACUGAAAUUAACAGUAACCCUAGAGGACAAAGAUGAUGUGAUGACGUUAUUUUAUGAAUAUCAAUGCAUUAUUAUUAUACUCUGAAUGGUUAAUGUUUAUGUUGCUAUACAGUUGUAUUAUUUAUGUAUUCUAAUGUAAGUAUUAAAAAGGUUUUGUAAACGUAAACGGUUAAUUUGAAAGAUGAUUUACAGCCAACAGGUAAUUUUAUUGAGGCCUAUGUGGCAGAAAUAAGUACAAGUACCAAGCCAAUUCGGUGUUUCAGGGAUCGGAUACCGGUAUUUUUUGUAUGGGAACGAAAACGGUAUUUUUUCGUUCUUUGUUAAUUACUUCAUUUCUAAUUGGGCAAUUUAAUAACAUGAAGUCGUUACCUAAAAACACAACUGAGUCCUACAUUUGAAGUUAAAGUAUAAAAUUAUUCGAAAAAUAUGGUUAUUUCUAAGUUUUUGCGAAAAAACGGUUCCGAUCCCUGCGGUGUUUAUAUUAUAAUAAAAGAUAUAAGACAUUAGUUGUGACUGUUUGUGUCUAUCUCAACAUACUAAAUAGAGAAUGUAGCAAAUCUUCUCGUUUUUAAAUUGAAAUAAAAUUUAAAGACAGGAACAAAAGAUGGGUGCUUUAAUAUUUUCGUUGAAGACUAACAUUAUUUCACUUGGUAUUAACUGAUUAUUAUAUAACACGAGAGAAUAUUAGCUCAUUGUAGAUAGAUCAAUAUAAAUAUUACAUAUGUAUAGUAAAAGAGCAAAGCCACAUUCUCUGUUUUUGUCAAGCUUUAAAAACAUGUUAGAGAUACACCACUAGCGUCUCCCGAACGUCGGCGACUACUCAACUCUAUGGCUGCUGCCCGACGCAACGUUGGCGCAACUACUCAACUCUAUGGCUGCUGCCCGACGCAACGUUGGCGCAACUACUCAACUCUAUGGCUGCUGCCCGACGCAACGUUGGCGCAACUACUCAACUCUAUGGCUGCUGCCCGACGCAACGUUGGCGCAACUACUCAACUCUAUGGCUGCUGCCCGACGCAACGUUGGCGCAACUACUCAACUCUAUGGCUGCUGCCCGACGCAACGUUGGCGCAACUACUCAACUCUAUGGCUGCUGCCCGACGCAACGUUGGCGCAACUACUCAACUCUAUGGCUGCUGCCCGACGCAACGUUGGCGCAACUACUCAACUCUAUGGCUGCUGCCCGACGCAACGUUGGCGCAACUACUCAACUCUAUGGCUGCUGCCCGACGCAACGUUGGCGCAACUACGCAGCGACACCAUUUUCCAUAGCGCUGACUAGACGCCGACUCUCAAAAGACGCUAAGUGUGGGGCUCUUUUAAUUAUUGUAUUUAUUUUAGACUUUGAACAAAUUGUUUUCUUUCUUCACGCCUUUCUAGUUCGAUAUAUCUACCACUUGGCUGUAAAAUUGAACUUCGGUACCAGAAAACAUAGUAUUAUUUCACCUUCAAAAUGUGACGUGAAAACGUUCUUUGGGAGUCAAUGGAAAUCAAAUUCAGUCAAGUGAUUUGAUUAUUUCAUGCUCUAAAGUCACACGACAUUCUUUGCAAUAACAUGAAUAGUAAAAUGCACUACCUACACUUUAUUUUUUAAUUUUACAUCGAAAACUUUUUGAUGUAUACUUUUUUCAAUAAAUAUUUAACCAAUAACA